UUAAAAACCAACAUUCCCAGCAGGUACCGACCGUCUCUAGAGCAAAUGGCAAAGAGCUUGGUAAUUGGCACUUGAGGUUUCAAAUUUGAAUUCUAGUUGAUUUACGCUUCUAACUAAAUUUAUUUUUAAAAUAAAAUAAACAAAAUGGAUAGCAUGCUAUCUAUCUUUAAAAAAAAAAAAAAAAGACUAAAUUACAGAAAACCCUCCUGUAAUAACCCGCUUUUUCACUUUCCCCCCCUGACAUUUAAAAACCUACACUUUGCCCCCUUGUAAAAUAAAAAAUGUGCACUUCACCCCUACCGUUAGGGUUCCGUUAGGGAUUCUGUUAAAAAAUAUUUUUUUAUACCGAAAAUACCCCUCUGCCUCUUCUCUGAUGCUUCGCUCCCUCCGGCUCGCCGCUUCGCCACCUCGCCGCCUCGCCGUCCUCCACUGCUUCGCCCUCGCCCACAUCCCUUUCGUCCUCCUCCGCCACCUCGCCUUCGCCCUCGUUGUCCCUGUCUACCUCUCCAUCAACACCUAUUUUAGUAUCCUCCCUACUGUCGCCGAAAUCGAUGGGCGGCGACGGUGUAGGAGGAGAAGGGGAGCAGGUGGAGAAAAAAUUGGAGAAGAAUCGUGGCCGAUUGAGGUGGAAAUAGCGGCGGAUCGAAGGGGCGGCUGAGGAAGCUCAGGAAGAAGACAACAACGGCGAGGGGCAAAAUGGUCAUUUUACACACCGUGACCCUCUCUGUAAACAUUUUUCAUUUUACAAGAAGGCAAAGUGUAGGUUUUUAAAUGUCAGGGGGGAAAGUGAAAAAGCGGGUUAUUACAGGGAAAUUUUCUGUAAUUUAGCCAAAAAAAAA
rnacentral:lncRNA from 1 species